UGGGACCUGGGAAGUGUAGGUGGCCAGGCU
rnacentral:piRNA from 1 species